AGUGAACGCUGGCGGCGUGCUUAACACAUGCAAGUCGAACGAGAACGGAAUAUAGCUUGCUAUAUUUGUCAGCUAAGUGGCGCACGGGUGAGUAAUGUAUAGAUAACCUGCCCUUAAGAAAGGAAUAACAGUUGGAAACGACUGCUAAUGCCCUAUAUGCCUUUAAUACAUAAGUAUGCAAGGGAAACGCUUUAGUGCUUAAGGAUGGGUCUGUAUGGUAUCAGCUUGUUGGUGAGGUAAUGGCUCACCAAGGCUAUGACGCCUAACUGGUUUGAGAGGAUGAUGAGUCACACUAGAACUGAUACACGGUCCAGACUCCUACGGGAGGCAGCAGUGGGGAAUAUUGCACAAUGGACGAAAGUCUGAUGCAGCAACGCCGCGUGGAGGAUGACACAUUUCGGUGCGUAAACUCCUUUUAUAUAGGAAGAUAAUGACGGUACUAUAUGAAUAAGCACCGGCUAACUCCGUGCCAGCAGCCGCGGUAAGUC
rnacentral:rRNA from 1 species